GUGGCUGCUGCUCGGUCGGUUCAGCAGUAGUGGCUGUUAGUUGGAUUAUUACCUGGAUUAUUAACCGGAUUAUUUUACAUCUGCCUGCUAAAUUCUUUAUUCUUAAUUUUAUAAACUCUUAUAUACUCUUAUUCUUAAUUUUGAGCGGAUUUGAGUUGUGGGAUGUCAAUGGAGAAGACAAAAACUGCAACAUGGACACUUCCUCACUCAUCUGAGGAAGACUCAGAUGGGAUCUACUUGGUCACUUAAGUUCAGUGAAUUUAUAUCUUGCAAAAAUAUUCUUGAUAUCAAAUCAAGCAUUGGAACAAGGUUUACAGGGGAUAACAGGCACACAACAGAGUGACAAGUCCAUCACGAGUAUCAACUGCAAUGUAUAAGGAGCCGUUGCAGAGACCCACUGAAAAUACAGCAAAUAGGAGUGUAGUGAAAGACCGGGAUACACAGGAACCACGGUAGUUUACAGAGAUCGAUAUCGGCAGUGCACUGUCUACUAGAGAACUGGCCCAUGAACUCUGAAGUGCACACAUUUCAGCUAUUUAGCCCCUCCCUCAAAUCAGAAGGGAGAAAUCGCGUCCAGGAGGAGGAGCG